UGCCAGCAGCCGCGGUAAUACGAGGGGCCCAAGCGUUAAUCGGAAUCACUGGGCUUAAAGGGUGCGCAGGCGGACCCGCAAGCAUCUUGUGAAAUCCCCCGGCUCAACCGGGGAACUGCAGGGUGAACUGCGGGUCUUGAGACAGGUAGGGGCAGACGGAACUAUCGGUGGAGCGGUGAAAUGCUUAGAUAUCGAUAGGAACGCCAAUGGCGAAGGCAGUCUGCUGGGCCUGUUCUGACGCUCAGGCACGAAAGCGUGGGGAGCAAACAGGAUUAGAUA
rnacentral:rRNA from 1 species